rnacentral:rRNA from 1 species
CAAACUUGAGAGUUUGAUCCUGGCUCAGAACGAACGCUGGCGGCAUGCCUAACACAUGCAAGUCGAACGAACCCUUCGGGGUGAGUGGCGCACGGGUGCGUAACGCGUGGGAACCUGCCUUUAGGUUCGGAAUAACAGUUAGAAAUGACUGCUAAUACCGGAUAAUGUCUUCGGACCAAAGAUUUAUCGCCUUUAGAUGGGCCCGCGUUAGAUUAGAUAGUUGGUGGGGUAAUGGCCUACCAAGUCGAUGAUCUAUAGCUGGUCUGAGAGGACGAUCAGCCACACUGGGACUGAGACACGGCCCAGACUCC